UAGCAUAUCAAUAAGCGGAGGAAAAGAAACCAACAGGGAUUGCCUCAGUAACGGCGAGUGAAGCGGCAACAGCUCAAAUUUGAAAUCUGGCCCUAGGCCCGAGUUGUAAUUUGCAGAGGAUGCUUUUGGUGCGGUGCCUUCCAAGUUCCCUAGAACGGGACGCCAGAGAGGGUGAGAGCCCCGUACAGUUGGACACCAAGCCUUUGUAAAGCUCCUUCGACGAGUCGAGUAGUUUGGGAAUGCUGCUCAAAAUGGGAGGUAUAUUUCUUCUAAAGCUAAAUACCGGCCAGAGACCGAUAGCGCACAAGUAGAGUGAUCGAAAGAUGAAAAGCACUUUGAAAAGAGGGUUAAACAGCACGUGAAAUUGUUAAAAGGGAAGCGCUUGUGACCAGACUUGCGUCCGGUGAAUCACCCAGCUCUCGCGGCUGGGGCACUUCGCCGGCUCAGGCCAGCAUCAGCUCGCUGUCGGGGACAAAAGCUUCGGGAACGUAGCUCUCUUCGGGGAGUGUUAUAGCCUGUUGCAUAAUACCCUUCGGCGGGCUGAGGUACGCGCUCCGCAAGGAUGCUGGCAUAAUGGUCAUCAGCGACCCGUCUUGAAACACGGACCAAGGAGUCAACCUUAUGUGCGAGUGUUCGGGUGUCAAACCCCUACGCGUAAUGAAAGUGAACGCAGGUGAGAGCUUCGGCGCAUCAUCGACCGAUCCUGAUGUUCUCGGAUGGAUUUGAGUAAGAGCAUAUAGGGUUGGACCCGAAAGAAGGUGAACUAUGCGUGUAUAGGGUGAAGCCAGAGGAAACUCUGGUGGAGGCUCGCAGCGGUUCUGACGUGCAAAUCGAUCGUCAAAUAUGCGCAUGGGGGCGAAAGACUAAUCGAACCUUCUAGUAGCUGGUUUCCGCGA
rnacentral:rRNA from 1 species